AUUGAACGCUGGCGGCAUGCCUUACACAUGCAAGUCGAACGGUAACAGGUCUUCGGAUGCUGACGAGUGGCGAACGGGUGAGUAAUACAUCGGAACGUGCCUAGUAGUGGGGGGUAACUACUCGAAAGAGUGGCUAAUACCGCAUGAGAUCUACGGAUGAAAGCAGGGGAUCGCAAGACCUUGUGCUACUAGAGCGGCCGAUGGCAGAUUAGGUAGUUGGUGGGAUAAAAGCUUACCAAGCCGACGAUCUGUAGCUGGUCUGAGAGGACGAUCAGCCACACUGGGACUGAGACACGGGCCAGACUCCGACGGGAGGCAGCAGUGGGGAAUAUUGGACAAUGGGCGCAAGCCUGAUCCAGCAAUGCCGCGUGCAGGAUGAAGGCCUUCGGGUUGUAAACUGCUUUUGUACGGAACGAAAAGCCCUGGGUUAAUACCCUGGGGUCAUGACGGUACCGUAAGAGUAAGCACCGGCUAACUACGUGCCAGCAGCCGCGGUAA
rnacentral:rRNA from 1 species